AGGAAGUAUUACUUUACUGAGAGGGUAGUGGAUGCAUGGAAUAGCCUUCCAGCUGAAGUGGUAGAGGUUAACACAGUAAAGGAGUUUAAGCAUGCGUGGGAUAGGCAUAAGGCUAUCCUAACUAUAAGAUAAGGCCAGGGACUAAUGAAAGUAUUUAGAAAAUUGGGCAGACUAGAUGGGCCGAAUGGUUCUUAUCUGCCGUCACAUUCUAUGUUUCUAUGUUUCUAUAGUA